CUUUCUUAUUUAUACUUGACUGAAUUGUAAUGAUGAUUUUUUUCUAAUUGUAAUUUGACCUAAUAGCCAUAUAAAAAAAUGACUCUAUUAAUGCUGACUAGGUUUAGCUUCUCAUGGUUGUAGAUAUUACUUCAGUUUCGGUGCUGGAAAAUAUGUACAACAUACUAACAAAAUUGAAAAAAAUAUACAGAAGGUUUGUCUUUUUUUUUUUCCCAAAAGCAGGUAAAAAGAGAGCGGCAAUGUGAUGUCCUCAAAAAUGCAUAUUCAUUGUGAGGAUGGAGGAAGUAGAAAUUAGUAAAAGGUUAAUCAGUGGUUAUAGCUUAAUCCUAUUCACAUAGAAAUAAAUCAAGUGAACAGCCCCAGAUCUUUGCAUACUUUUACUAUGAUGCUGUUUUAUUAAUAUUUUCUAAAUUCCAAAACAAAAAAGUGAAUGUUUGAAAAUUGCUGGGUCCUGACGUCGGUGGCUGUUGGAGUUUUGGACCACUUGCUAGCAGUGAUUUUAAAAUUAUAAUUAGCUAAAAAAAUUUCAAAAACCAGAAACAAAGAACUAACAACAAAAAUUGUAUGGUGCAGAACAUGCAUCUUGACAAUGGUACUAACUUGUUACUCUAUAGAACAUGUUAGAAUAGAUCUAUUUUUGCCAGAGCUCCCUCCUUCAGUCCUCCGAUUACAUUUCACUAGAGUUCCUUAUGAGAUUGCUGUAUAUUCAUGGGACCUUUUUUUAAAAAGAAGCAAAACAAAAAAUUACUUUUUUCUAUGUGAUUAAUAUCUUACUUGAUCUGCUUUUCCUAAACCUCAGUGGCUUUUCCCUUAGGCAGGGGUGUGGGUGGGAGGGCAACUUCCUGGAUAUGACUGUUUUCAGAUACUUUAAAACAAACCUUUUUGUAGAAAUGCUUAAUUUUUAAGCGGUUAGGCACUGAGAGUAGCAGAAAUCCUGCAAAGCUUUAUAGUUCUUUAGGCACACGCCCUGUCGUUUCUCUGAGUGAAGUUUUUAUUUCAUUAAUAGUGCUUCUUAUGCCCUGAAUCUGCUGGAGAAAGGGAUGUUGGUAUUUUCAGGUAACAACAUUUAUUAGCACAAAUAUUUCAGACCAAUAUAUAGCACUCACCCAUUUAUCAUUUUUAUUUCAUUUUUUCUCAUUCUUAUUUUGGAAAAUCAUAUUGCUAUGGUGUGUAUUUUAACCUGCCAGCAAACAUCAUCUACACUAACAUUUGUCCCACAGCACCCUCAAGAAAAAACUUGUUGCACCUUAUGUAUAUCUCAAGCAAACCAAAAUAUGAUGCUCUUCUGCUUUGUGUUAUUCUAAAUUGUUGUAUCAUAUCUUUCUGAAACCAUUCUGAAUUUAGUUGAAAUUAUCAAUAUUUAUGCUUUUAACCUUAAUUUCUGGAUUCAAACCUGUAUAUAAAUCUUUUGAAAAAAAUUGUCCUAGCCCUUCUCUGCAAUGCUGGAAGUGGAAGAUUUCGUCUCAGAUGGAGACGUAGUAUUGUUCCAGUUUUCUUUAGCCUUUUUAUUUAUUUAGUUAUUUCUGGGUAUUUCCUAUGUAAUUUUGAAGUAUGUAGAGUAUAUUAUAGUAACUGAAACUGCAGCUCUAAGAAGCUGAGUGAAAAAAAAAAUACUGUAAGACAACCUUGAAGUUUUUACUUGUUUGGGUACUGUAUAUGAGAUUGGGAAAGGAAAAUGGCCCACAACCACAUUGGAAAUACAGGUUCUUGUCCCAAAAUUAGGUUAGUUCCCAGAGUUAAGUCAAAAUUCUUAAUUGACUAAACCUUUUUUGAAGGAUAAAUUAUACCAUUGGAAUUCUGACAGUCUUUUUCCCAUAAAAUCAGAAAUUACUCAUUAAUUCUGUUAUGUGAGUUCCCAAAGCCAUGCUGAAAUAAUUCCUAUCUAGUUCCUGCCGUUUACAGCUGCUGGAGGACAGCAUCCACACAAGGAGGAGAAGCACCACCGCUGCGUCGGGGACAAGGAAGGAAAUCGGGGUGGCCUGGAGUCGUCGUUCGCGAAGGGAAUGUUGGGGUGUACAUGAUGUUGUUGAGGAGAUUCACUUUGAUUGCACUGCUCCACAGAGCCCUCAUAUAAGGCCAAUCCCAAUGGGCUACCUCGGCUUUCAAAGUUACUUUCAAUAAGUCCUGUUUCAAAACUUUGUUUUUAUUUGUUUUUUCCUUCUCCUUCAGUGCCACUAUUUUCCACUGCAGUGUUUUGACUUUGACUUCACACACCGCCUUCUCCAGAAAGAACAGUGUAUUGCUGAAAAUGGGCAGUAGAAGCAAAUGCUAUCAUUACAUUUGACCUAUAAAGUAUUCAGAAUAACUGCUAGGUGGAAAUUAAAAUUUAGCUUUUCUCCACAUAGGUCCUUGUUUUGCACCUUAUACAAAGUGUACUAAUUGUUAAUUAGAUGUUGCUUUUGUCUAUACAAGCAUUCCCAAAGAAUUAGAUUUAAUUUUGUUGUAUUUGAAUUUGAGGAUUUUUAAAAACGACUUUAUUUAGGUUGACUAACAGCAUAUGUAUAAUGAAAAAAGAGGCAGUUUUUCAUUUCAUCUUACCAGAUGUGAAGUAUUCAGGGUCUGAUGGACUGCUUUUCUUUAAUUUGGAAAUGAUCAAGUUUAUUGUAGUCCAUAUUAAAUGGCUUUGUCCUUUUCAUGGCAGAUAUUAUCUUGGUACCUUUCAGAACAAAGAACAAGUGUGAAUAACAAGACAUAGGCAUUUGAUUUAUAUAUCCCCGCCUGUCUGUAUUAUGCUUUCCUUCAAUAUAUAUUCAUAUUCUUUUUUAAUAUCUUUUUCUGGCCAAAUUUUAUCUCUAGUGGUGUGAUUUACACUACUAAGUUGAGAGAAGGAACCUUGUAGUUAAAAGUUCUGUGGCCACUGGUUUUCUUGGUUGUGUUUUGUCAAUCAGUGGUCAAAACUGAUCAUACCCUGAAACUGAUUUUUAUACGCACAACUAGUUAUCCUGAACAUUACUCCUCCUUCCAAAGAUAUCCUGAUAACUUGGACCGGAACUGGUUACUGAGUAACAAGGAUCUAAUUGAAUGCCUCUAAACCCUUCCACCCGCAAUGCAAAUCUUACCUCACAAGCUCUAAACUAAAUCACAGAGAUAAGUGUGUUUCAUGAACUAUCACUGAUUCUCUUUGUGGCCCACUAGGGGUGGGCUCAGGUCCCCUCACAUUAGUGCCUCGGCCUAAAGAGCAGCAGAACCGAGGGUAGGGGAAAGGUUUGCCAUCUAGAGCUCAGUAACUUGCUUGGCAACAUUUUUUUUUUUUCAUUUCACUAUAAACAAGUCUCUUGCUCUCAGGAAUUUGUCAAAAAAAAAAAAGCAAACAAAAAACACCUGAGAUUCCACACACUAGAUUUUGAACUUUUCUCAUAGGUUUGAAUUGCUUACUCAAAUGUCAUAAAUUAACCAUAGUUUUAUUUGACCACCAGGUCUUAAUUCUGUUGACAGUUUCAGCAUGACUGAAUCACUCUUUUUUUUUUUUUCUUUCGGAAAUUGGCUUGGUUCUCUUUAGAGUUGGUGUAAACAUGCCAUGUAGUAAAUGAUUUCCACUUAAUGGUACAACAG
ensembl:lncRNA